AUAAAGGAGUGUUAUCUGACGGAUUGGACAGUGAUGAAAGUAUUGACUCGUUUUAUAAUUAAGAACGCAAUUUGCUACAGGUAUUUUUGAAGCCAACCAACUCUAACUGUCCUUCAAUUCCAUGCCGCCUCGAACUACAAAUAAAAAAUCUUUACUUGUGUAAAUACAAGCCAAUGAAUGCCGGGAAAUACGAAUUAAAUGUCGAAUAUGUAAAUUCUCCAAUAUCGACUGAAAAACCAAUAGUUUAUGUGGCCGAAGAGUUUGACCCCAAUAAAUGCGUUGUUUCCAACAUGAAUUUCGACGGCGGAAUAAAGGUGAAUAUGGAGGCUAGUUUUGAUAUUGUUUCGAAAAAUGAAAUUAACCCUGAACUUGAGGUGAUUCUGACCUAUCCAGAUGGCACUUGUGGCGAAAUGAGAAUCGCCACUGAGGGUUACGAAUACAAGUGCAGUUUUGUCACAAAAAAUCCUGGAAGACAUUCAAUCGACGUGCUUUAUAAAAACGCUCCUAUCCUCGCAUCU